AUACGGAGGAUGCGAGCGUUAUCCGGAUUUAUUGGGUUUAAAGGGAGCGUAGGUGGGAUAUUAAGUCAGCUGUGAAAGUUUGGGGCUCAACCUUAAAAUUGCAGUUGAUACUGGUUUCCUUGAGUACGGUAUAGGUGGGCGGAAUUCGUGGUGUAGCGGUGAAAUGCUUAGAUAUCACGAAGAACUCCGAUCGCGAAGGCAGCUCACCGGGCUGGAACUGACACUGAUGCUCGAAAGUGCGGGUAUCAAACAGGAUUAGAUACCCUGGUAGUCCGCACAGUAAACGAUGAAUACUCGCUGUUUGCGAUACACGGUAAGCGGCCAAGCGAAAGCGUUAAGUAUUCCACCUGGGGAGUACGCCGGCAACGGUGAAACUCAAAUGAAUUGGCGGGG
rnacentral:rRNA from 1 species